GAUGAACGCUGGCGGCGUGCCUAAUACAUGCAAGUCGAGCGAACGGACGAGAAGCUUGCUUCUCUGAUGUUAGCGGCGGACGGGUGAGUAACACGUGGAUAACCUACCUAUAAGACUGGGAUAACUUCGGGAAACCGGAGCUAAUACCGGAUAAUAUUUUGAACCGCAUGGUUCAAAAGUGAAAGACGGUCUUGCUGUCACUUAUAGAUGGAUCCGCGCUGCAUUAGCUAGUUGGUAAGGUAACGGCUUACCAAGGCAACGAUGCAUAGCCGACCUGAGAGGGUGAGAGGCCGAACGAGAACUGAGACAGGGUCCAUGCGAGAACGGGAGGCAGCAGUAGGGAAUAUUCCGGAAUGGGCGCAAGCCUGACGAAGCAACGACGCGUGGGUAAUGAAGGUCUUCGAAUCAUAAAACUCUGUUAUUAGGGAAGAAAAUAAGAGUAAGUAACUGUGCACAUCGCGAGGGGCCCUAAUCAGAAAGCCACGACUAACAACAUG
rnacentral:rRNA from 1 species